GUGGAAGUAAAAGUGGAAACAAGGUUUCCGGUACGUGAACCUGCGGAAAGAUCAUUUAAUAUUGUGUGGGGGAAUAGGCUUUAAAACCCUUUUCCCCCAUUAUUCAUCCCAUAAGGUGGGGUCAAACCCACAUGCGCAAUUUUUUUUAAAAGGGUUACUUUCCGGGUAUCUUUUUUUAUUAUAAAAGGGUUCUUUUUGGGCUAUAUUAUUAAUUUUUUUUAUACUAAAAUUUAGGAAUACGAUUGACCCAUAAUUUAUGGUUGUUUAAAAAUAUAUUAAUUUAUAUAAAAAACAACUUUUAAGCAAAGGAUCUCUGCAACUUUUUGUUUCGAUGAAGAAUUCUGCAAAUCGUCUGGGAAGUAAAAAUCGUAACAAGGUCUCCGUUGGUGAACCAGCGGAGGGAUCAUUACCGAGUUUACAACUCCCAAACCCCUGUGAACAUACCACUUGUUGCCUCGGCGGAUCAGCCCGCUCCCGGUAAAACGGGACGGCCCGCCAGAGGACCCCUAAACUCUGUUUCUAUAUGUAACUUCUGAGUAAAACCAUAAAUAAAUCAAAACUUUCAACAACGGAUCUCUUGGUUCUGGCAUCGAUGAAGAACGCAGCAAAAUGCGAUAAGUAAUGUGAAUUGCAGAAUUCAGUGAAUCAUCGAAUCUUUGAACGCACAUUGCGCCCGCCAGUAUUCUGGCGGGCAUGCCUGUUCGAGCGUCAUUUCAACCCUCAAGCACAGCUUGGUGUUGGGACUCGCGUUAAUUCGCGUUCCCCAAAUUGAUUGGCGGUCACGUCGAGCUUCCAUAGCGUAGUAGUAAAACCCUCGUUACUGGUAAUCGUCGCGGCCACGCCGUUAAACCCCAACUUCUGAAUGUUGACCUCGGAUCACUGAAUAACCAUUCC
rnacentral:rRNA from 1 species